rnacentral:lncRNA from 1 species
AUUUUAUAGUGAUAUCAUAUAUCAGUUCAACCAUCCCAGAUUAGAUUUGUACUUUUCUUGUGUUUAUACAUACCUGUAGAUAUCCUGAUUUAAAGCCUCCUAGUUCACCAUCUCCGAGUGUACCAACUACAUCACUAUCGAAGAUAGAUACAGUAGUAGUAUCAAGCAAUGGACCAGCUCAACUUUCUGUGGAAGAUACACCAAAGAAUGAAGAACAGCACCUUCAUGAACCAAAGUCAAGGCCACUUUCACCUUAUGCAAUGUAAGUUGAUUCCUUCUUAUAGAAGAAAGAAAGAGAGGGACUUGGAUUCUUGAUUGAGAUCUAC